UGGGUCGGCGUCUGAAACAAAGCACGCGAAGUGUUUCCCGAAGAACCGAGAGAGGGAAGAGCCGCUGGGGCGGCUGGUAUCCCGCUGCAAAGAGUAGGGCAGUCGGCGCUUCCCUCGCGCCUGGCGCGACGCUUUGAGGUCUCUUGCUUGUUUCCACGCCUCCGAGCGGCUCUCUGGAGGAGCCCGGUCCGCGCCGAGCUUGGACCGGGACUUCUCUUGCUGGCUGUUUCCUGCCGCUGGAAGCUGGAGAAGGAAUCGCCGCGUCUUCAUUUCCAGCAAACCCUCUGGUUCAAUUGAAACAAGACAAGAAUCUCAUCAUUGGUGACCUUUAACCUGACAGAGCAUCAGCUGGGCCCUGCAGAGAUGGCACCAGAACAGAAUUUGGCAGAAGGAAACAGAACCAGAACCAGAAGCAGAACAAAGGAAUGGAACAUUGGGCAGGAUGAUCUCAGAGGCGAUGCAAGUUCAGUCUCUCACCUGCCUGGCCACCGUGUGGUCCCUCACUGUAGGUGGGCACAGGCUCUGAGGAAAGGCUCAACAGAAAGACCAGGGUCUCCAACAGCCAGUCGGGCUAGCUGAGGACUGCGGAGUGCACGGCAGAUGGGCUAGUUCGUACACUGCGCACAGGAGCACAGCGGAGGGGGCAGGUAGGCUGAAACCCCACCUAGAGUCUCCUCACCAGGCUGUGAGGCCUGGUGCGAAGCUGUACAUGCCCAGAGGAAGGGGGACCCUGUUCUUCACACACUGGCAGUGUCCGCACAAAAGGGUCACUUUUUCUAAUUUGCCUCAAAGGCUCGUAUAGACCAGCCGGGUCUCUGGGUGAGAUUCAGUCAGGGAGCUGAGUGGGGGGAGGGGAGCCCUCCUUCCUCCCAAGUCCCGUGGGCCUCCCCACUCCGCCAGGCCCCAUCGUCCCGUGUGAGAAACCUCUACGCUGUAUGGCUGUCUCACCUUCAGAACAGGAGCUCUGUCUUUGACCAUUUAGCACUGUCUCCAGCACGUAACAGAAACUCAGUAAACAUUUCCUCCAUCAAGAGUUGCUCUGUGCUGGUGAUCAUUGUGUCCACUGGGACUGGAAGAAGUGGUGAAGCAUUAGAGGCCAGAGUAGAUUUCUGUACUUUUCUCAUCACCCACCAAGUUCGUCCAUGGUCUCUACUGGCCCUGAGUAUGCACAGUCUCCAGUUUAUACAUAUGCUAACAGAUGGCUCUGCUUUGUCUAGAAUUUGGCUGUGGGUAGCCAGUAGGAUUGAUUUCAUAAGGAAGAAUCAGCAGCUUUUAUUCUGUCUCUGCGUGCUGCGUGCCAGUGGGCCUCCUUUAAGAUGCAGCACAUUCCAGAUCUGAAAGUCUGCAGCCGAAUAUUAAAGAUGGUUUUCACUCUGUGCUUAAUGUCUGCUAGGGCCCUGUCUAGAAGUGUUGGGAAACUUGAAAUCCUCCGUGGUUUUAUCAGCCAGGAACAGCCUGCUUUCCCAUUGGUCUUCGUAUUAUUCCUAAAUUAAGGGCAAUCAGUCUUUGGUGCAUAUUGUUCCCUUCCAGCUCCAGGACCUGAACCAUUUCAGCUUCAUGCUACAUCUCAUGCUGCUGCUGCUGCUGCUGCUGCUAUUAGUUUGUUUUGUUUUAAGAAAAAAAAAAGUUGGUAUUUGAGGCUUUGUGAGACUCUUGUCCCCUUUUAAUAAGCCAGAUUCUAAUGGCUUGAGCUGUACUCUGUUCUAUGGAAGCUGCUGAAUGAGCCAACAUUGUGAAUAAGAAUCAUGGAAUUAUCUUGCUUUUCUUCACUGUCUCAAGAUCCAAGGGUUGAGGAACAGCAAGGUCCUUGUGGCUGAGGAGACUUCCUAUGUACCAUGUAGGCUGGUGUCCCUCCUGCUUUUGUUUCUCACCUCUGAACCAGUUUUUGGUAUGCACGAAUCAAAAAUACAUCAUCCGGGGACUUUCUAGGUGGCACAGUGGUUAA